rnacentral:rRNA from 1 species
GAAUAUUGGACAAUGGGGGAAACCCUGAUCCAGCAAUGCCGCGUGUGUGAAGAAGGCCUGCGGGUUGUAAAGCACUUUCAGUAGAGAAGAAAAGCCUGUGGUUAAUACCCCGGGGUCUUGACGUUACCUACAGAAGAAGCUCCGGCUAACUCCGUGCCAGCCGCCGCGGUAAUACGGAGGGAGCGAGCGUUAAUCGGAAUUACUGGGCGUAAAGCGCGCGUAGGCGGCUUUGUAAGUCGGAUGUGAAAGCCCUGGGCUCAACCUGGGAAUUGCAUUCGAUACUGCAGAGCUAGAGUAUGGUAGAGGGAAGUGGAAUUUCCGGUGUAGCGGUGAAAUGCGUAGAUAUCGGAAGGAACACCAGUGGCGAAGGCGACUUCCUGGGCCAAUACUGACGCUGAGGUGCGAAAGCGUGGGGAGCAAACAGGAUNAGAUACCCUGGUAAUCCACGCCGUAAACGAUGAGAACUAGAUGUUGGGGGAAUCUGUCCCUCAGUGUUGCAGCUAACGCGUUAAGUGCUCCGCCUGGGGAGUACGCCGGCAACGGUAAAACUCAAAGGAAUCGACG